rnacentral:rRNA from 1 species
GCGACUAAGCGUACACGGUGGAUGCCCUGGCAGUCAGAGGCGAUGAAGGACGUGCUAAUCUGCGAAAAGCGUCGGUAAGGUGAUAUGAACCGUUAUAACCGGCGAUGUCCGAAUGGGGAAACCCAGUGCAAUUCGUUGCACUAUCGUUAACUGAAUACAUAGGUUAACGAGGCGAACCGGGGGAACUGAAACAUCUAAGUACCCCGAGGAAAAGAAAUCAACCGAGAUUCCCCCAGUAGCGGCGAGCGAACGGGGAGCAGCCCAGAGUCUGAAUCAGCUUGUGUGUUAGUGGAACGGUCUGGAAAGUCCGACGGUACAGGGUGAUAGUCCCGUACACCAAAAUGCACAGGCUGUGAACUCGAAGAGUAGGGCGGGACACGUGGUAUCCUGUCUGAAUAUGGGGGGACCAUCCUCCAAGGCUAAAUACUCCUGACUGACCGAUAGUGAACCAGUACCGUGAGGGAAAGGCGAAAAGAACCCCGGCGAGGGGAGUGAAAAAGAACCUGAAACCGUGUACGUACAAGCAGUGGGAGCACCUUCGGGUGUGACUGCGUACCUUUUGUAUAAUGGGUCAGCGACUUAUAUUCUGUAGCAAGGUUAACCGUAUAGGGGAGCCGCAGGGAAACCGAGUCUUAACUGGGCGUUAAGUUGCAGGGUAUAGACCCGAAACCCGGUGAUCUAGCCAUGGGCAGGUUGAAGGUUGGGUAACACUAACUGGAGGACCGAACCGACUAAUGUUGAAAAAUUAGCGGAUGACUUGUGGCUGGGGGUGAAAGGCCAAUCAAACCGGGAGAUAGCUGGUUCUCCCCGAAAGCUAUUUAGGUAGCGCCUCGUGAAUUCAUCUUCGGGGGUAGAGCACUGUUUCGGCUAGGGGGUCAUCCCGACUUACCAACCCGAUGCAAACUACGAAUACCGAAGAAUGUUAUCACGGGAGACACACGGCGGGUGCUAACGUCCGUCGUGAAGAGGGAAACAACCCAGACCGCCAGCUAAGGUCCCAAAGUCAUGGUUAAGUGGGAAACGAUGUGGGAAGGCACAGACAGCCAGGAUGUUGGCUUAGAAGCAGCCAUCAUUUAAAGAAAGCGUAAUAGCUCACUGGUCGAGUCGGCCUGCGCGGAAGAUGUAACGGGGCUAAACCAUGCACCGAAGCUGCGGCAGCGACACUAUGUGUUGUUGGGUAGGGGAGCGUUCUGUAAGCCUGCGAAGGUGUGCUGUGAGGCAUGCUGGAGGUAUCAGAAGUGCGAAUGCUGACAUAAGUAACGAUAAAGCGGGUGAAAAGCCCGCUCGCCGGAAGACCAAGGGUUCCUGUCCAACGUUAAUCGGGGCAGGGUGAGUCGACCCCUAAGGCGAGGCCGAAAGGCGUAGUCGAUGGGAAACAGGUUAAUAUUCCUGUACUUGGUGUUACUGCGAAGGGGGGACGGAGAAGGCUAUGUUAGCCGGGCGACGGUUGUCCCGGUUUAAGCAUGUAGGCUGGUUGUCCAGGCAAAUCCGGAUAAUCAAGGCUGAGGUGUGAUGACGAGGCACUACGGUGCUGAAGUAACAAAUGCCCUGCUUCCAGGAAAAGCCUCUAAGCAUCAGGUAACAUUAAAUCGUACCCCAAACCGACACAGGUGGUCAGGUAGAGAAUACCAAGGCGCUUGAGAGAACUCGGGUGAAGGAACUAGGCAAAAUGGUGCCGUAACUUCGGGAGAAGGCACGCUGGUGUGUAGGUGAAGUCCCUGCGGAUGGAGCUGAGACCAGUCGAAGAUACCAGCUGGCUGCAACUGUUUAUUAAAAACACAGCACUGUGCAAACACGAAAGUGGACGUAUACGGUGUGACGCCUGCCCGGUGCCGGAAGGUUAAUUGAUGGGGUUAUCCGUAAGGAGAAGCUCUUGAUCGAAGCCCCGGUAAACGGCGGCCGUAACUAUAACGGUCCUAAGGUAGCGAAAUUCCUUGUCGGGUAAGUUCCGACCUGCACGAAUGGCGUAAUGAUGGCCAGGCUGUCUCCACCCGAGACUCAGUGAAAUUGAACUCGCUGUGAAGAUGCAGUGUACCCGCGGCAAGACGGAAAGACCCCGUGAACCUUUACUAUAGCUUGACACUGAACAUUGAGCCUUGAUGUGUAGGAUAGGUGGGAGGCUUUGAAGCGUGGACGCCAGUCUGCGUGGAGCCAACCUUGAAAUACCACCCUUUAAUGUUUGAUGUUCUAACGUUGGCCCCUGACCGGGGUUGCGGACAGUGUCUGGUGGGUAGUUUGACUGGGGCGGUCUCCUCCCAAAGCGUAACGGAGGAGCACGAAGGUUAGCUAAUCCUGGUCGGACAUCAGGAGGUUAGUGCAAUGGCAUAAGCUAGCUUGACUGCGAGCGUGACGGCGCGAGCAGGUGCGAAAGCAGGUCAUAGUGAUCCGGUGGUUCUGAAUGGAAGGGCCAUCGCUCAACGGAUAAAAGGUACUCCGGGGAUAACAGGCUGAUACCGCCCAAGAGUUCAUAUCGACGGCGGUGUUUGGCACCUCGAUGUCGGCUCAUCACAUCCUGGGGCUGAAGUAGGUCCCAAGGGUAUGGCUGUUCGCCAUUUAAAGUGGUACGCGAGCUGGGUUUAGAACGUCGUGAGACAGUUCGGUCCCUAUCUGCCGUGGGCGCUGGAGAAUUGAGGGGGGCUGCUCCUAGUACGAGAGGACCGGAGUGGACGCAUCACUGGUGUUCGGGUUGUCAUGCCAAUGGCACUGCCCGGUAGCUAAAUGCGGAAGAGAUAAGUGCUGAAAGCAUCUAAGCACGAAACUUGCCCCGAGAUGAGUUCUCCCUGAGACUUUAAGUCUCCUGAAGGAACGUUGAAGACGACGACGUUGAUAGGCCGGGUGUGUAAGCGCAGCGAUGCGUUGAGCUAACCGGUACUAAUGAACCGUGAGGCUUAACCUUACAACGCCGAAG